rnacentral:rRNA from 1 species
CCUUGCCGCCGGCGACCGGCGCGACGGGUGAGUAACGCGUAUGCGACCUGCCCGUUGCAGGGGGGAUAAUCGGGAGAAAUCCCGUCUAAUACCGCGUAACGCCGUGGGAGGCCAUCCUCCCGCGGCCAAAGGGGCGACCCGGUCACGGAUGGGCAUGCGGCGCAUUAGGUAGUUGGUGGGGCAACGGCCCACCAAGCCGACGAUGCGUAGGGGUUCUGAGAGGAAGGUCCCCCACAUUGGAACUGAGACACGGUCCAAACUCCUACGGAAGGCAGCAG